rnacentral:tRNA from 1 species
GCCUUUGUAGUGCAACGGUCAGCACGCUCGACGCGUGAGGUCCGCGGUUCGAUUCCCGGCGAAGGCG